rnacentral:rRNA from 1 species
GACGAACGCUGGCGGCGUGCUUAACACAUGCAAGUCGAACGCUGAAGCUCAGCUUUUGUUGGGUGGAUGAGUGGCGAACGGGUGAGUAACACGUGAGUAACCUGCCCCCUUCUUUGGGAUAACGCCCGGAAACGGGUGCUAAUACUGGAUAUUCACUGGUCUUCGCAUGGGGGUUGGUGGAAAGGGUUUUUCUGGUGGGGGAUGGGCUCGCGGCCUAUCAGCUUGUUGGUGGGGUGAUGGCCUACCAAGGCUUUGACGGGUAGCCGGCCUGAGAGGGUGACCGGUCACAUUGGGACUGUGAUACGGCCCAGACUCCUACGGGAGGCAGCAGUGGGGAAUAUUGCACAAUGGGCGCAAGCCUGAUGCAGCGACGCCGCGUGAGGGAUGGAGGCCUUCGGGUUGUGAACCUCUUUCGCUCAUGGUCAAGCCGCAACAAUGGUUGUGGUGAGGGUAGUGGGUAAAGAAGCGCCGGCUAACUACGUG